AGAGUUUGAUCCUGGCUCAGAUUGAACGCUGGCGGCAUGCCUUACACAUGCAAGUCGAACGGCAGCACGGGGGCAACCCUGGUGGCGAGUGGCGAACGGGUGAGUAAUACAUCGGAACGUGUCCUGUAGUGGGGGAUAGCCCGGCGAAAGCCGGAUUAAUACCGCAUACGCUCUACGGAGGAAAGGGGGGGAUCUUAGGACCUCCCGCUACAGGGGCGGCCGAUGGCAGAUUAGCUAGUUGGUGGGGUAAAGGCCUACCAAGGCGACGAUCUGUAGCUGGUCUGAGAGGACGACCAGCCACACUGGGACUGAGACACGGCCCAGACUCCUACGGGAGGCAGCAGUGGGGAAUUUUGGACAAUGGGGGAAACCCUGAUCCAGCAAUGCCGCGUGUGUGAAGAAGGCCUUCGGGUUGUAAAGCACUUGUGUCCGGAAA
rnacentral:rRNA from 1 species